CAUAGUUGAAGCCUUUAUUAUAAUUGUUUUUAGUUCAAAAAAGAGUCACAAUAGACAUUGAAUGAAUCUUAUGUACAUAUUGUUUCACAAAAGCUUAGAACAUUGGUAACAUCAUCAGAGUAUAACAUAGUGACUAGUUUUAAAAAAAAGUGUGAGGAUAUUUAACAAAAUGUAAUGAGGCGUUGUUUUUGUUGUAGCCAGUGUGUGUAUUUAAAUCAAAUGUCUUGUGUUUUGUA